CCCCUCUCAGGAUUACACCUGGAGAGUUGCCAGUACUCUACCAGUCUUGACUACGAGACGGAGAACCAAGCAGAGGCAAACCCAUUCCAUUCCUAGCUUGGGCAAUGGCUAGCAAGUGGAAGGCAAUCUGCUACAACU